UACUAAGAAAAGCGCUAUAUUAAAAUUCUUUCAUUAAUUUUUUUUUGGGAAAACUUCAAAAACCCCCCCUGUGGUUUCAUAGUUUCUCACUUUGCCACCCUGUGGUUUAAAAUGUAUCAAUUUGCUCCCUGUGGUUUUGUUUUUCUUUUUUUUUUAUCAAUUUCAUUAUUUUUUUUUCCUUAAAUCAGUAAUAAAGUUAAAAUUAAAGGGUACUAAAGUGAAUAUUUGAUAAAUCUAGAUGGGUAUCUGAAGUUUUUUUGUAUAUAAUUUAACGAAAUAUUAAAGAAAAAGCUACCAAAAAGAUAAAAACGAAACCACAGGGGGGCAAAUUGAUAUACUUUAAACCACAGGGAGGCAAAGUGAGAAACUACGAAACCACAGGGGGGUUUUUUGAAGUUUUUUCUUUUUUUUU
rnacentral:lncRNA from 1 species